GUAUUGAUUGCGUGUGACCGCAAAAGAAACAUUCUACACUGUAUCGAGUUUUUAUGUGAAAACGCAAGCCCUCCCGCAAAGGGGACCCACGCGGUGAUGCACAAAGGUGAGAUGGAUUGUGUGAGAGCGCUCGGGCGUGCACGACCUUUGACGGUCAGCGACAGCCCUUGCACCUCGGUUGUACGAUAAUGAUCCUUCCGCAGGUUCACCUACGGAAA
rnacentral:misc_RNA from 1 species